CUCAUACCGGGAUUUUCUCCUCUGUUAUACCCGGAGGACGAUUCCAUCCACAUCAGCACUGUACCUGCUCCUAGACGCCCUGGAACAUUCAGCUGCCGUUGCGGUGCAGCUGGAGUCAGACUUGCCACCGCACGGCCAAGUGCAGGACCCCCAGGAGCACCACCGGACCCAUCUCUUACACAGGCUGACCGAUUUCUCCUGGUGUUCAGAGUCUGUUUUUGUCUAGCACCAUUUGAAAUCGGUUAUGAUGUAGGGGGAAAAGCAGCAGCCUCGAAGCCUCAUGCCAACUCUGGUGAGCGGCCGCCUGUGGUUUCUUGGAAGAAGGAUGGGCAGAGAGUGGGGAAGGACGAUCUAGCACUUUGUUCACUAACUUCUUUAGCUGCAUCUAUGAUACCUUAUUGCAGAGGCGACUUGCGAUGCAGAUUUUACCUACCUCCUGAGACUUUACGAAAGGUUACGCAGACACACAUUAAAAACGAAGCCAGCCCAAUAAGACAAGACUGCAAUUCUGUGAGCCAAGAAACAAAAGGAGAGAAAAGAUCACAGAAAAGAGAAAUGUUCAAGCCUGGGUGGAGGGAUGCUCCUUCCUGAUGGGGAAACAGACAUCUGUACAGGCAGGUGCAAAGUACCACGAUGCCAACAACUGUAAGAAACCGGGAAAGGACAUAGAACUCUGAGAAUGGAAUGCCAAGACUCAAAAUUUAGCAGCAGAAAUAAGUAAGUGUCGGUUGCAUUUCAGUGGUCAGAAAAAUGUUAUUUUAUUUAAGCAUAUUAUCUAUUUACAUUCUGUCUGGACUCUUCACUAUCUAAAGUCCAUUCCCUGGAGUCACUUAACAGUCCACAGUAAACCACAGAAGAAUCAUUGCUUAGUUUAGAAAAUUACCCAAAGCAUCUUUGGGACACAAACUCAUGACCAAUCAUCCCGAAAACACAUGUAGUGUUUAGUAGGCUUUGUUACUAAGUGGACACAUACAGUAUAAAAGGAUAUACAUCCACCAGCAAAACGUAGUGUGUAGUGUAGUAGUGUGUAGUGUAUCAGUGUAUCAUAUACAAGGUCAGGCUGUUCUAGACUGGUGUACUUCAUUUCAAGCUAUAUAAACUAUAGAUACUGAAAAGUCAUUUAAAAAAUAAUGCACUUCUUGGCAGUCAUAUUUUGAUUUAAGUGGCAUUGGCGUUUGGGCUACUUACGGAUAGUGAGAACAAUCACAGCAAGGAUGCCUACAUCUGAGAAAAAAUGAAAACAGUUUGAAGAUUGAGCACACAAGGGUCCCAGGGGGUAGCUGCAUCUAAUUUAGAUCAGAUCCUCUAUAUGCUAUGGUAACAGAACUGUUGCUCAGGUUAGUUUGAGCACAAGUGCUAGUACGUCCAGCUCAUUCUGUUCACAGAACUCUUUUUAUCAGAUUUAGGAUAGACUUUGUGAAACUCUUCAGCAGAAUCUGACUUUUCAUUGUUUUGUGCUGUCACUGCUACACCAGGGUAUUUAGUAAAGCUCAUGAGGACCAUUAGAAUUCCCUAAAUUAGAGUAAAUUACCUACAGGUCUCCAUACAUAGUACCACUUACAUUUAUUAUCUUAUCUAGACUACUAAAAUAAUUAUAAAUGUCAAAUUUUGUGAAACUUUGUUCCUUCCUUAACUACAAAUAAUUGAAACACAAUAGAUAUGCCCAUGUAGAACUCCAAGACCUCAUAAUGCAGAGUAAGUAGUAGCCAAAAUUAUACCUAAUUCUUCAAAGUCUUCAACUGAUAGAUAUUCGUUGGCCUCAGGAUAACCUAGGGGAAAAAAUGGAAAUAAGUAAAAAAGAAAGACAGACUAAAGCUGAAAGAUCCAUAAAUUCACUGAUUUUUGUUUUUUGCCUUUGUAUAAAACUAUUUAUAAUUUCAUUUUCCCUAAUGUUUCUCAGUAAGAGUGGUAUCAUAAAUUAUAAAUUUAUUUUUUUCUAUUUUUUUAAUAAUAAAUUUGUUUUUUAUUGGUGUUCAAUUUGCCAACAUACAGAAUAACACCCAGUGCUCAUCCCGUCAAGUGCCCCCUUCAGUGCCCGCCACCCAGUCAUUCCCACACCCCGCCCACUCCCACUUCCCUUCCAUCACCCCUAGUUCAUUUCCCAGAGUUAGGAGUCUUCCACGUUCUGUCUCCCUUUCUGAUAUUUCCUACCCAUUUCUUCUCCCUUCGCCUCUAUUCCCUUUCACUAUUAUUUAUAUUCCCCAAAUGAAUGAGACCAUAUAAUCUUUGUCCUUCUCCGACUGACUUUUUUCAUUCAGCAUAAUACCCUCCAAUUCCAUUCACGUCGAAGCAAAUGGUGGGUAUUUGUCAUUUCUAAUGGCUGAGUAAUAUUCCAUUGUAUACAUAAACCACAUCUUCUUUAUCCAUUCAUCUUUCGAUGGAUACCGAGGCUCCUUCCACAGUGUGGCUAUUGUGGACAUUGCUGCUAGAAACAUCGGGGUGCAGGUGUCCCAGCAUUUCAUUGCAUCUGUAUCUUUGGGGUAAAUCCCCAGCAGUGC
rnacentral:lncRNA from 1 species